AUGGGCGGAAGCCUGAUCCAGCACGCCGCGUGAGGGAUGACGGCCUUCGGGUUGUAAACCUCUUUCAGCGGGGACGAAGCGCCGAUGAUGGUGGUGACGGUACCCGCAGAAGAAGCACCGGCCAACUACGUGCCAGCAGCCGCGGUAAUACGUAGGGUGCGAGCGUUGUCCGGAAUUAUUGGGCGUAAAGGGCUCGUAGGCGGUUUGUCGCGUCGGGAGUGAAAACACCGGGCUUAACUCGGUGCUUGCUUUCGAUACGGGCAGACUAGAGGCAUGCAGGGGAGAACGGAAUUCCUGGUGUAGCGGUGAAAUGCGCAGAUAUCAGGAGGAACACCGGUGGCGAAGGCGGUUCUCUGGGCAUGUCCUGACGCUGAGGAGCGAAAGUGUGGGGAGCGAACAGGAUUAGAUACCCUGGUAGUCCACACCGUAAACGUUGGGCGCUAGGUGUGGGGCCUAUUCCAUGGGUUCCGUGCCGCAGCUAACGCAUUAAGCGCCCCGCCUGGGGAGUAC
rnacentral:rRNA from 1 species